GGAGAGGUGGCAGAGCGGUUGAAUGCGGCGGUCUUGAAAACCGUUGUCCUGCGAGGGACCCUGAGUUCGAAUCUCAGCCUCUCCG
rnacentral:tRNA from 1 species